rnacentral:rRNA from 1 species
UACGUAGGCAGCGAGCGUUGUUCGGAGUUACUGGGCGUAAAGGGUGCGCAGGCGGUGGAGCAAGUCUGUUGUGAAAUCUCCCGGCUUAACCGGGAGGGUGCGGCGGAAACUGUUCUGCUGGAGUGAGGGAGAGGCAAGCGGAAUUCCUGGUGUAGCGGUGAAAUGCGUAGAUAUCAGGAGGAACACCCGUGGUGAAGACGGCUUGCUGGACCUCCACUGACGCUGAGGCACGAAAGCGUGGGGAGCAAACAGG